AAUUCUUGAAUGUUAAAAAAUCAUUUUUUUUGGAAAAUCUGAAACACCUACAACAAACGCAUGCUAUUUUCAAUUCUUGAAUGAUUUGGUUUGUAAUUCACUAUCACCAUCGCUACUGCAAUCUUUCAUUAUCCAUCUUUUUAAAUUUGAAUUCUAUUUCAUUCUAAUUCAUAAUCGAUUCAUUCAACCCAAUUUGUUUUCUGUUUGCGACACUCUUUCGUUCUCUGUCAUUCAUCAUAACGCUACGCUAGAAAACCUCACAACACAACACGUUCGUGUAACUCGCUCACUCGACUCGCCCCGUAACUCGUUCUCUUCGUUUUCCAUUUUUUCAUCACGCCGAAGGCUAAAGCGGAUUCCAAACCCGCUGAUAACAGUUGCUUCCACUACUUGGGUUAAUUUUGAUGAUAUGGAAGCUAUUAAAGAAAAAGUUUCUUAUGCAAAGUAAAAUGGAUUACUCGGUUACAAUGUUUUCAAAGUUGGGAAUGAUGACAAUUGGGUCCUUUCCAAGGCAGUUUUGACAUAGACAAUGGACCUAAAGCUGCCUAGUAUAUUCAGGAAGCAGUGGCUAAGUGGCAUCAACUGCGGCCAUGGUGUUUGAUUUUUAAAGUAUUUUUACAACAAAGAAUUUUUUUUAAUGAGCUCAUGAAGUAUAUGAAGAUCAUCAUAACAGAAGGUUGCUGAAAUUGUUCUGCUUAGACUACUGCAAUUCUCUUAGGAAUAGUAGUAUUUUGCUACUACCACCAAGUGACCAAUAUUAAAAGAAUAAUAUACAAACUGAGGAUAUAUUUAUCAGCAGGUGAAGAAGAUCAUUAUGCAAAUGGUUCUGAUUUAUUAAUAUUCGGUUAUCUCACAAUUAAAGUAGCAAAAAAUAACUUCUCAGAAGAAAAUAAGUUAGGAAAGGGUGGAUUUGGAGCUGUGUACAAGGUAACGUUUCGAAAUUCAUCUUGUGAAAUGUUUCGUUCAAAUAGGAACUUUGAAAUGUAAAUUGAAGUAUGAAUUGGAUAGUAAUGAUGCAAUCUUCCAGUAUGAAUUUCAUUUUUUUUAGAUGCAAAAUU